AACACUAAGUGAUCCCAGACCAUUGUAUCUCAAUGAAGUGGUCUGUCUGCAGUGGCAAUGUAGUUUUAACCCUGCAAUUAAUGUUUCCAUUGUAGGGUGAAACAUACCUACUGGCAGCCACUAGGAGGCACUUCUUGUGCAGUAAAGCCUGGUCAUGUGACAGUCAACCUCCAUGAAGAUGUCAGGCAUCAUCAAAUGUAGCUCAUAUGAAAGUAUUGAA